rnacentral:rRNA from 1 species
UGGGGAAUAUUGGACAAUGGGCGAAAGCCUGAUCCAGCCAUGCCGCGUGUGUGAAGAAGGUCUUCGGAUUGUAAAGCACUUUAAGUUGGGAGGAAGGGCAGUUACCUAAUACGUGAUUGUUUUGACGUUACCGACAGAAUAAGCACCGGCUAACUCUGUGCCAGCAGCCGCGGUAAUACAGAGGGUGCAAGCGUUAAUCGGAAUUACUGGGCGUAAAGCGCGCGUAGGUGGUUUGUUAAGUUGGAUGUGAAAUCCCCGGGCUCAACCUGGGAACUGCAUUCAAAACUGACAAGCUAGAGUAUGGUAGAGGGUGGUGGAAUUUCCUGUGUAGCGGUGAAAUGCGUAGAUAUAGGAAGGAACACCAGUGGCGAAGGCGACCACCUGGACUGAUACUGACACUGAGGUGCGAAAGCGUGGGGAGCAAACAGGAUUAGAUACCCCCGUAGUCCCUGAGCGGGCUGGCAAGGCGCAU